UCGCCUACGGGAGGCAGCAGUGAGGAAUAUUGGUCAAUGGGCGCGAGCCUGAACCAGCCAAGUCGCGUGAGGGAAGACGGUCCUAUGGAUUGUAAACCUCUUUUGUCGGGGAGCAAAAGACGCCACGCGUGGCGUUCCGAGAGUACCCGAAGAAAAAGCAUCGGCUAACUCCGUGCCAGCAGCCGCGGUAAUACGGAGGAUGCGAGCGUUAUCCGGAUUUAUUGGGUUUAAAGGGUGCGUAGGCGGGCUGUUAAGUCAGCGGUCAAAUGUCGGGGCUCAACCCCGGCCUGCCGUUGAAACUGGCG
rnacentral:rRNA from 1 species